rnacentral:rRNA from 1 species
CGGAGGAUAAGAAACUAACAAGGAUUCCCCUAGUAGCGGCGAGCGAAGCGGGAAGAGCUCAAAUUUAUAAUCUGGCACCUUCGGUGUCCGAGUUGUAAUCUCUAGAAGUGUUUUCCGCGUUGGACCGCACACAAGUCUGUUGGAAUACAGCGGCAUAGUGGUGAGACCCCCGUAUAUGGUGCGGACGCCCAACGCUUUGUGAUACACUUUCGAAGAGUCGAGUUGUUUGGGAAUGCAGCUCAAAUUGGGUGGUAAAUUCCAUCUAAAGCUAAAUAUUGGCGAGAGACCGAUAGCGAACAAGUACCGUGAGGGAAAGAUGAAAAGCACUUUGGAAAGAGAGUUAACAGUACGUGAAAUUGUUGGAAGGGAAACGCUUGAAGUCAGACUUGCUUGCCGAGCAAUCGGUUUGCAGGCCAGCAUCAGUUUUCCGGGGUGGAUAAUGGUAGAGAGAAGGUAGCAGUUUCGGCUGUGUUAUAGCUCUCUGCUGGAUACACCUUGGGGGACUGAGGAACGCAGUGUGCCUUACGGCGGAUUUCUCGAGAUCUUCACACUUAGGAUGCUGGUGGAAUGGCUUUAAACGAC